rnacentral:rRNA from 1 species
GAUGAACGCUGGCGGCGUGCCUAAUACAUGCAAGUCGAGCGAACAGAUGAGGAGCUUGCUCCUCUGACGUUAGCGGCGGACGGGUGAGUAACACGUGGAUAACCUACCUAUAAGACUGGGAUAACUUCGGGAAACCGGAGCUAAUACCGGAUAAUAUAUUGAACCGCAUGGUUCAAUAGUGAAAGACGGUUUUGCUGUCACUUAUAGAUGGAUCCGCGCCGCAUUAGCUAGUUGGUAAGGUAACGGCUUACCAAGGCAACGAUGCGUAGCCGACCUGAGAGGGUGAUCGGCCACACUGUAACGGAGACACGGUCCAGACUCCUACGGGAGGCAGCAGUAGGGAAUCUUCCGCAAUGGGCGAAAGCCUGACGGAGCAACGCCGCGUGAGUGAUGAAGGUCUUCGGAUCGUAAAACUCUGUUAUUAGGGAAGAACAAAUGUGUAAGUAACUAUGCACGUCUUGACGGUACCUAAUCAGAAAGCCACGGCUAACUACGUG